rnacentral:rRNA from 1 species
GAUGAACGCUGGCGGCGUGCCUAAUACAUGCAAGUCGAGCGAACGGACGAGAAGCUUGCUUCUCUGAUGUUAGCGGCGGACGGGUGAGUAACACGUGGAUAACCUACCUAUAAGACUGGGAUAACUUCGGGAAACCGGAGCUAAUACCGGAUAAUAUUUUGAACCGCAUGGUUCAAAAGUGAAAGACGGUCUUGCUGUCACUUAUAGAUGGAUCCGCGCUGCAUUAGCUAGUUGGUAAGGUAACGGCUUACCAAGGCAACGAUGCAUAGCCGACCUGAGAGGGUGAGCGGCCACACUGGAACUGAGACACGGUCCAGACUCCUACGGGAGGCAGCAGUAGGGAAUCUUCCGCAAUGGGCGAAAGCCUGACGGAGCAACGCCGCGUGAGUGAUGAAGGUCUUCAGAUCGUAAAACUCUGUUAUUAGGGAAGAACAUAUGUGUAAGUAACUGUGCACAUCUUGACGGUACCUAAUCAGAAAGCCACGGCUAACUACGUG